AUUGAACGCUGGCGGAAUGCUUUACACAUGCAAGUCGAACGGUAGAGGGGCAACCCUUGAGAGUGGCGAACGGGUGAGUAAUGUAUCGGAACAUGCCCAGUCGUGGGGGAUAACGUAGCGAAAGUUACGCUAAUACCGCAUACGAUCUAUGGAUGAAGGCGGGGGAUCGCAAGACCUCGCGCGAUUAGAGUGGCCGAUAUUAGAUUAGGUAGUUGGUGGGGUAAGGGACUACCAAGCCGACGAUCUGUAGCUGGUCUGAGAGAACGACCAGCCACACUGGAACUGAGGUACGGCCCAGACUCGUACGGGAGGGAGCAGUGGGGAAUUUUGGACAAUGGGCGCAAGCCUGAUCCAGCCAUUCCGCGUGCAGGAAGAAGUCCUUCGGGUUGUAAACUGCUUUUGUACGGAACGAAACGCGCUGAGCUAAUACCUCGGCGUAAUGACGGUACCGUAAGAAUAAGCACCGGCUAACUACGUGCCAGCCGCCGCAGUAA
rnacentral:rRNA from 1 species